rnacentral:lncRNA from 1 species
CUAUUGAAUAGGGUUCCAUCAAAAUCUAUUCCUACUACAUCUUAUAAGAUAUGGUAUGGUAAGAAGCCGAGUUUAGAUUAUCUUAAGACUUUGAGAUAUCCGGUCUAUGUUAAGAGAUAGAUGGCUAAUAAAUUAGAAGAUAGAUCUAUAGUAGCUCAUUUAUAGGAUAUCCAAAAGAAUCCAUGGGAUACUACUUCUACUUUCCAC